rnacentral:rRNA from 1 species
UACGUAGGGUGCAAGCGUUGUCCGGAAUUAUUGGGCGUAAAGAGCUCGUAGGCGGUUUGUCGCGUCGACUGUGAAAACCCGAGGCUUAACCUCGGGCCUGCAGUCGAUACGGGCAGACUAGAGUUCGGUAGGGGAGACUGGAAUUCCUGGUGUAGCGGUGAAAUGCGCAGAUAUCAGGAGGAACACCAGUUGGCGAAGGC